GACGAACGCUGGCGGCGUGCUUAACACAUGCAAGUCGAACGGUAAGGCCCUUCGGGGUACACGAGUGGCGAACGGGUGAGUAACACGUGGGUGAUCUGCCCUGCACUUCGGGAUAAACCUGGGAAACUGGGUCUAAUACCGGAUAGGACUCCUGGCUUCAUGGUUGGGGGUGUAAAGCUUUUGCGGUGUGGGAUGGGCCCGCGGCCUAUCAGCUUGUUGGUGGGGUAAUGGCCUACCAAGGCGACGACGGGUAGCCGGCCUGAGAGGGCGACCGGCCACACUGGGACUGAGACACGGCCCAGACUCCUACGGGAGGCAGCAGUGGGAAUAUUGCACAAUGGGCGCAAGCCUGAUGCAGCGACGCCGCGUGGGGGAUGACGGCCUUCGGUU
rnacentral:rRNA from 1 species